CUACGGGAUGCACCAGUAAGGAAUAUUGCGCAAUGGAGGCAACUCUGGCGCAGCCAUGCCGCGUGCAGGAAGAAGGCCUUAUGGGUCGUAAACUGCUUUUAUUUAGGAAUAAACCCCCGAACGUGUUCGGGGCUGAAGGUACUAAACGAAUAAGCACCGGCUAACUCCGUGCCAGCAGCCGCGGUAAUACGGAGGGUGCAAGCGUUAUCCGGAUUUAUUGGGUUUAAAGGGUGCGCAGGCGGGCUAUUAAGUCAGUGGUGAAAUCCCGGGGCUCAACUCCGGAACUGCCAUUGAUACUGAUAGUCUUGAGUUUGGUUGAAGUGGGUGGAAUGUAGCAUGUAGCGGUGAAAUGCAUAGAUAUGCUACAGAACACCAAUCGCGAAGGCAGCUCACUAAGCCAAAACUGACGCUCAUGCACGAAAGCGUGGGGAUCAAACAGGAUUAGAUACCCCUGUAGUC
rnacentral:rRNA from 1 species